GGUGCCAGCAAUCAACACCCCCCGCCCCAGUCCCUGUCCAUGGCCUGUCCCUCCUGCGCCUCUGUCCACACCAGGAAGGAUAGGACGGGCUCCGUGGGCCUCUGUUCCAGCUGCCCCCUCUGCUGGCUGAGCUGCUCUGGUCUUCUGAGCAGGGGCUCCUGGAGGCUGGGCUGAGAAGUUUCCAACUCUGCCUGUGAAAACCUGAAUGAGAUCAGCAUCAUGUAGAAUGCUGGUGGUGUGGGUGAAUAGUGGAUAAGAAGGUGCCAAACAGAUGAUGACCUAGUGAUGGGUCUUCCUGGAGGAGAAACAUGGAUGCAUGAAGAUGGUGAAGAAUGCACAAGCAUGAGGACAUUUAGAGAAUGACAUGAAGGAUUGAUGGGUUAGGAUAUGGAGAUGCAGAAAUAGACUGGGUAAGAUUAAAAGCAACCUGGAAUUAGGACACCUGGGUGAUUCAGUUGGUUAAGCAUCUGAAUUCAGCUCAGGUCAUGAUCUCACAGUUCAUGGGUUUGA